rnacentral:rRNA from 1 species
GGACUCUAUUGAGGCCCGUAAUCGGAAUGAGUACACUUUAAAUCCUUUAACAAGGAUCCAUUGGAGGGCAAGUCUGGUGCCAGCAGCCGCGGUAAUUCCAGCUCCAAUAGCGUAUAUAAAAGUUGUUGCGGUUAAAAAGCUCGUAGUUGGUUCUGCGUGCCGCGCUGUCGGUUCGCCGCCUGUCGGUGUAAAUGGCAUGUCGCGGCAUGUCCUGUCGGUGGUGAGCGGGAUUCCCGGUGCAGGCUAGGCUUUUAUAGCCGAAGCUUGUGCCGUGUGAAGUCCGUUUGCCGAUCUCUCCUACUCCGGUGCUCUUAAACAAGUGUCAAGGUAGGCCGACGCUUUCACUUUGAACAAAUUAGAGUGCUUAAAGCAGGCUGAAAUAUCUGCCUGAAUAGUGGUGCAUGGAAUGAUAAAAUAGGACCUCGGUUGUAUUUUGUUGGUUUUAGGAAUGUGAGGUAAUGAUCAAUGUGGACUGGCGGGGGCAUUCGUAUUGCGACGUUAGAGGUGAAAUUCUUGGAUCGUCGCAAGACGCAAUAAAGUGAAAGCAUUUCCCAAGUAUGUCUUAAUUGAUCAUAAAUGAAACUUAGAGGUUCGAAGGCAAUCAGAUACCGCCCUAGUUCUAACCAUAAACGAUGCCAGCCAGCGAUCCGCCGAUGUUCCAUUAAUGACUCGGUGGGGAGCUUCCACCCGGGAAACCAAAGCUUUUGGGUUCCGGGGGAAGUAUGGUUGCAAAGCUGAAACUUAAAGAAAUGACGGAAGGCACCACCA